rnacentral:misc_RNA from 1 species
GAUGAAGAACGUAGCGAAAUGCGAUACUUGGUGUGAAUUGCAGAAUCCCGUGAACCAUCGAGUCUUUGAACGCAAGUUGCGCCCGAAGCCACUAGGCCGAGGGCACGCCUGCCUGGGCGUCACACGUCGUUGCCCCCCCCCCAUCUACUCCUUCGGGAUUGCGGGGGGCGGAUGAUGGCCUCCCGUGCGCCUAGCCGCGCGGUUGGCAUAAAUACCAAGUCCUCGGCGACGCACGCCACGACAAUCGGUGGUUGCGAAACCUCGGUUGCCCGUCGUGUGCGUUCGUCGCGCAUCGAGGGCUCGAAAAAAUGCUCGGCUCCGGCUCGGCUUUCAACGCGACCCCAAGUCAGGCGGGGUUACCCGCUGAAUUUAAGCAUAUCAAUAAGCGGAGGA